CCCUAUCAACUUUCGAUGGUAGAGUAGUGGUCUACCAUGGUUUCAACGGGUAACGGGGAAUAAGGGUUCGAUUCCGGAGGAGGGAGCCUGAGAAACGGUACCACAUCCAAGGAAGGCAGCAGGCGCGCAAAUUACCCAAUCCCGACACGGGGAGGUAGUGACAAUAAAUAACAAUAUAGGGCUCUAUUGGGUCUUAUAAUUGGAAUGAGUCGCAAUUUAAACCCCUUAACGAGGAACAAUUUGGAGGGCAAGUCUGGUGCCAGCAGCCGCGGGUUAAAUUCCAGCUCCAAUAAGCGUAUAUUAAAAGUUGUUUGGCAGGUUAAAAAAGGCUUCCGUAAGUUUGAAACCUUUUGGGCC
rnacentral:rRNA from 1 species